GACGAACGCUGGCGGCGUGCUUAACACAUGCAAGUCGAACGGAAAGGCCUGCUUUCCCUUGUGGAUUGCGGGUACUCGAGUGGCGAACGGGUGAGUAACACGUGAGUGAUCUGCCCCCAACUUGGGUAUAAGCCUGGGAAACUGGGUCUAAUUCCCGAUAGGACUGCAGGGUGGUGCCUGUGGUGGAAAACGAUUUUCUAGUGGUUGGGGAUGAGCUCGCGGCCUAUCAGCUUGUUGGGGGGGUAAUGGCCUACCAAGGCGGCGACGGGUAGCCGGCCUGGGAGGGUGGACGGCCACAUUGGGACUGAGAUACGGCCCAGACUCCUACGGGAGGCAGCAGUGGGGAAUAUUGCACAAUGGGCGGAAGCCUGAUGCAGCGACGCCGCGUGGGGGAUGACGGCCUUCGGGUUGUAAACUCCUUUCGACCGCGAGGAAGCCACCUGGUUGGAAGGGUGGUGACGGUAGUGGUAGAAGAAGCACCGGCUAACUACGUG
rnacentral:rRNA from 1 species